AUUUCCGUAGGUGAACCUGCGGAAGGAUCAUUAACGAAUAACUAUGGUGUUGGUUGUAGCUGGCUCCUCGGAGCAUUGUGCACGCCCGCCAUUUUUAUCUUUCCACCUGUGCACCGACUGUAGGUCUGGAUACCUCUCGCCUCCCUUCUCUUAGGGUUAAAGCGGAUGCGGGGAUUGCUCGCAAGGGCUCUCCUCGAACUUCCAGGCUCUACGUCUUUUUACACACCCCAAUAGUAUGAUCCAGAAUGAUAGUCAAUGGGCUUUCAUAGCCUAUAAAACACUAUACAACUUUCAGCAACGGAUCUCUUGGCUCUCGCAUCGAUGAAGAACGCAGCGAAAUGCGAUAAGUAAUGUGAAUUGCAGAAUUCAGUGAAUCAUCGAAUCUUUGAACGCACCUUGCGCUCCUUGGUAUUCCGAGGAGCAUGCCUGUUUGAGUGUCAUUAAAUUCUCAACCUCACCAGUUUUCUGAACUGUUCUCCGAGGAUUGGAUGUGGGGGUUUGUGCAGGCUGCCUCAGCGCGGUCUGCUCCCCUGAAAUGCAUUAGCGAGUUCGAUACUGAGCUCCGUCUAUUGGUGUGAUAAUUAUCUACGCCGUGGAUCGGGGCUUAGACUCGCUUCUAACCGUCCGCAAGGACAAUACCUUGACAAUUUGACCUCAAAUCAGGUAGGACUACCCGCUGAACUUAAGCAUAUCAAUAAGCGGAGGA
rnacentral:rRNA from 1 species